UUUCUAAAGCGCUGACACAAAGGACUUUGAAUACAGACUAGCAGGAGAUGAGGAAGUGAUCUGAGGAAGCCGUGAAGGCAAAACGCGUCAUCACGUACGCACUUCCACGUCACAUUACGCCGUCACGUGAUCCGGACGCUAACCCCGCCUCCAAGAAGAGUCCAUGUAGGACAUCUGAAAGAUCUGAGGUUCUGCAGCUGGCAGCAAACUUAAUGGUCAGAGACCCUACACAGGACACACUCGAAGGAAGGAGGUGGAGUGGGGACGUUCUUUUUAAUGUUAUG